rnacentral:lncRNA from 1 species
CAGAGGAAAGAAAAUCUUAGGGAGCACCGAGUCGUAGGAAAAGGAGAUAACCAUUUACAGGCUGCGUGUGAACAAUGUGAAGCUAUUUCCUCUUUUCUUGGACAAAAGGAGUGCACACGCUCAACUUUGGUCUCCAUGUGACGCCCAUCCUUAAUGCACAACCUCUGGAGCAAAAGCGGACACGCCGUCUCCCCAGCUUCCGUUUUUUCCUCUGCACGCCUGCUGCUGGAGUAUUCACGCUUCAGGCUGUUUUCUUUGAGAGAGAGAGAGAGAGAGAGAGCGAGAGAGAGAGAGAGAGAGGGGAAGACAGAGUAUGAAAAUAUGCAAAUGCUAUUGUUGAAGCGCAG